GCAGAUUCCAGAAGGCCACAUUCUCAGCAACUCGAGCCUGAGUUCCUUGUCUGGAUUUCUCUGGACCCUGCUGACCACCACUUAGAAGACCCGUCACCCCUGCUUCUUCCAGGUUUGAAGGUGGAGGUGAGCGCUCUAGUGUGGGGAAGGGGCCUGCAGUCAGCUGUCCAUAAGCCCAGGAGACACCCGCCACUCCCCUGCCAGCCACCCAGGAAUAAUGGCAGCCUGGGAUGAGCUCCCAUAAUUCACUGGGAGUGUGGGGCUGGGUGUAGACCCUGCUUGAAUACCAGGCUUCCUGCUGUUACCUAGGGGAGGGCCCCAAGGUUAUUUCCCCUCCAGACCUUCCCUUGAUGCCCUUUCAUAUUCCUUCUUUCCCCUCCCUGCCUUCCUUCUUCCCUUCCCUCCUUCCUUCCUCCCCCCUCCUCUUUCUUUCUUCUUUUUGUUUUCUAAAUUGUCCCCCUCGAAUUCACACUGUUAAGAAAUAGAUGUGUGAAUUGAGCUGGAAUAUCAUGGAGAAAUGAUUUUUUUUUUUUGAAACAAAUGCAGCUGUCCCUCUUUCAGACACAAGUUUACCAUUUAUGUUCUUGAAAAUAAUCUAUGUUGCUAAAUUAUACAUGUUCCCUGAAAGAACUUUAGAGAACUUAGAAAACAAUUCCCAACGACAGCCUCCCGUGGAGGGGAGCACUGUUGCCAUUUGUGCAGGUGCGGUGGGCUUUGUUUCUGAAUAUAUGUUUCAGCUUUCCAGUUCGCUCUAGUACUAUAAUAGACUUCUGGACCCUGGUAACCUUUGGUUUUGCUCUUUUUGCAAUAUAUUGUGGGUGAUUUGUUUAUUGAUUAUUUUGAGUUGUUUUUCAUUUUGUUUAAAACGCCAAUUAAUAUUUUGUGCACAUAUUGUUUUGAUAAACAAAAUUAUUUUCUGAAGAAAAACCUUCGGCAGCAGGGUUACUACAUGGAAACGUAAGUGCAGAUUGAAGGCUUUGGGUCCACGUUGCCAAACUGCCCUGCAGAAAUGUUGAGCCCAGUGCAGAAAUGCCACGUGUUUCCAAACAUUUCUCACCAAUUCUCUGUUUUGUUGUUCCUUUGCCUCAUUUCCAAAUUGAUACACAACCCAGAGGACAAAAGGAUGAACAAAAUCCUUCAGCUGCUGGGCAUAGUGGUGCAGCCUGUAAUCACAGCAGGGAAGGCUGAGACGGGAGGAACGGGAGUUCAAAGCUAGCUUCAGCCAUUUAGUGAGAUCCUGUGUCUAAAUAAAACACAAAAAGGGCUGGGGAUGUGGCUCAGUGGUCAAGUGCCCCUGAGUUCAAUCCCUGGUACCAAAAAAGAAAAAGAAAAAAAAAAUCCUUCAGCUGACUGCUGGUAGCUCAAGGUAUUUACUCUCGGAGUUUCCUUGAGUUCUUGACAAUGGGAGAGAGGCCUGCUUCUCAUCAACCAAGUCAGGAGCCUACCCAACCCGUCAGAGCGUCUGAGCCCAGUGGUUUUUCUGGAGGCAAAUCCCAUAUGGUCUCAGGCAAAGCAGACCAGUGUCUCCACCAUUUCCUUCCGUAUCUGAUGGGCCAGAAUGAUCCUGAGCUCCAGCAACUUGACUUCCUCUACUGAUCUGCCUGGGAUGAUUCUGCUGCAGGCUCAGCAGGGACCAGUCUCAGGUGUGUCACUUCCCUGGUGACCAUGGCCUUUGCAAUCAGAUCAGGGGAGGAUGCUGAGGAAUGACCGUGCAGAAGUUCAUGGCCGGGUUCAGUGGCUACAUCGAGAAUCCACACUUUGAACUCACUGAUCUCUAAUCGUCACUUGGCAUCUCCUUCAGUAACAAUGGCAGGCAACAAACCUUUGCAAUGUCAUCAGUUUCUGUGACUUUAUUAUUGGUAAAAAUCAUAGCUACUUUCAGAUCUGUUAUGAUUGUGGCUGGUAUUUUAAAAAGUCCUUAAGCUCAUCGCUGGUUUGAAAUUACAGUAAUCAUUGAGGCUUGCUAACAAAUCUUGUUAUUAGUGUGGUAAUACAUGAGCAUACCUAUGACCAUAGAUAAUUUUUAAAAAUAUUCUGAUAAUUGUAUUUUAGCAUAAACAUUUUCUUUGUGAUCCCAUAUACAUUUAAAACUUUCUUCUGAGAGGGGUUCUUCAGACUUUACCAGCUGCCAAAGGAGUCCAAGGUGCGUGCACGUGCACGUGCACAUACUCACAAACACACAUACAAAAGAUUAAAACCUUGGAAAAGAAAGCUAAAUUAUUUGGGGCUUUGCAGAUGAGCCAAACCUUCUGGGUUUUGGUUUUGGUACUGAGGAUUAAACUUGGGGGUACUGCUCUACCACUGAGCUAUAUCUCCAAUCUUUUACUUUUUAUUUUGAGACAGGGUGUCACUAAAUUGCUUAGGGCCUCCCUCAGUCACAGAGGCUGGCCCCAAACUUGUGAUCCUCCUGAAUCAGCCUCCUGAGUCACUGGGAUUACAAGUAUGUGCCACCACACUAGACACAAAAGUUCUGUUUUCUAAUCCCAGGGUUAAAAAGGUUUCCCUAAAGGUUUUAGGAUAGAGAUUAUUUUGAAUAUUUUCUCAUCUCCGUUUCUGUGUAUUCAAUCAUUCAUUCGAUAGUUAUUUAACAAACAAAAAAAAUGACACACCAAGGCAGCCUCAUAAGACAAUCACUGACUCUGCCAAGUGACAAAAGAGGGUUGAGUGGAACAGAGGAGCCACGGCUCCAAGAAACCAGAGCAAUUGCAAAUUCAGCUACUCAUUGCUUUGAAUCCAGAUCUGCUCCCCCGCUGAAGUAUGAAAUUCCAUCAGAAUAAUUACUGCUUUUCCCCAUAGAGCUCUCGUCACUCUGUGACUCCCAAUCUGCUCUGGCAAAAUCCUCCUCAUCCUAUCUUGGAUGCCUCUUCCCAGCUGGAGCUAAUCCCAGUCCCCCACCCUCCCUCAUAGAUUUUAGCACUGUCACUUUUUUCUUAAAGAGAGAGAGAGAAUUUUUUAAUAUUUAUUUUUUAGUUUUCGGCAGACACAGCAUCUUUGUAUGUGGUGCUGAGGAUCGAACCCGGGCCGCACGCAUGCCAGGCAAGCGCGCUACCGCUUGAGCCACAUCCCCAGCCCCAGCACUGUCACUUUUGAUUUGCGUUAUUUACGGGAGUCUGGCUGCCGCUGGGAUCCUGAGCUCUCAUGCUGGGUUGUGGGGGGGAUCUUGCCCAUCCUGUGGCCCAGUGGGUCCUGGAGCUCUUCCUCCGCUUCUGAGCUGAGUGACUUAGGCAACUGGAUUCCCUUUCUGUUGGCAGAGACUGUAAUACGUGCUCGCUCCACCAAGACCUCUUUCUGGAGCUUUCUCCCAUGUUUUCCACCCUGCAGCCCCAGGCCAGGGCCGCUGAUCCAGGGCUUUGCUUCCCGAGCUGCUACUCACAGCCCCUCCUGGCCCACCUGUCCAGGCCUGGCGUCCCUGUUCCCUGUGCUGACAUGUCCUCUGCUGCUUAGUUCUGCUCAUCUUUUCAUGCCUGGUUCAAGAGGCUUCCCACACUUCAGGCAGAAAUACCUCUUUCUUCUUUCCUUCCUUUCUUUUUUGUAGGAUAUCUGGGAUUGAACUCAGGUGCACGUGGUCACUGAGCCACAUCCCCAGCCUUAUUUUGUAUUUUAUUUAGAGACAGCGUCUCACAGAGAGAAAUACCCCUUACUUUCUUCAUGCCCCAUGGUACACUUGAUUCCAACAGCUAUCUUUCUUCACUGGCCAGAAGUUCUUUAAAGGCAGGUACUGGCUGGGCGUGGUGGCACAUGCCUAUAAUCCCAGUGGUUCGGGAGGCUGAGGCAGGAGGAUCUCGAGUUCUGGGGAUGUGGCUCACUGACCAAGCACACCUGGGUUCAAUCCCUGGUACAAAAAAAAAAAAUCAGGUUCUGAGCCAUAUUCAUAUUUGUGGCAUCAGCGCUUUGAAGUAUUGUUGGCUGAAUGAAGAAGUGGAGGAAUGAGCGAAGGAAGGGGUGACUGGAUACCUUUCCUUUCUUCUCCCCAGCUCUUUCCUUUCUCUUCUAAUCAGUUCUGGGUCCAGGGCUGGCAUGGACACUGACUUUGAUCAUGAAUUAGUGACUUCAUCCCCCGGGAUUCAGGCUUCCCUCUCUGUAGGAAGAGAUGGAACUAGAGUCUGCUUAGUGGCCUUCUCUUGUUCCUAGUGAUGUGAUUCUCUUGUGAGACUCGGAAGGUGUCCCUAUUUGCUGGGACAGAAGUCUCCUGAGUCACACUCUUCGUCCCACUUAGCCACCCAGCACCGACUCCUGUAUCUAGCUGGUGACUUGGCCCUCUCAAUCCCACAACUUUCACGUCUCUAAAUCCCAUCCCACCUCCUUCUCUAGACCACUGCUGAAAUCCAGGCCUCCAUUUUCUCCCAUUCGAGUCACUGAUUAUCUUCAGGACAGCCCAGAGGUCAGACCUGUUCUCCCAGCCCCCUGCUUUUUGGGAGGAGGAGGCAGAGGCAUCUACAGAUACUGCAAGGCUACUGGGAGGUCUGGAUUUGCUAUUGGAAUCAAAAGUCCUUGAGUUCAAAUACUUCCUUCUUCAGAUCUUGUGUGUGAUUCUCUUUUCUGAUUUUCUCAGACUCCCUCCCAGACUUUGCCAUCUGAACUUCCUGGGCAGGUCCCCACUUCCCUAUUCACAGAGGCCAAGCUUAUGAGGAGGAGGAGGAACGUCCAGUUUCCCAGCAUCCGCAAGCCCAUGUGUGUGGGCCCCGCCUUCGCUUCCUUGCCUUUGCUCUGAGAAGCUGCCAGUUCCUCCACCUGUGCUGUGGCUCUGGGUUCUUCUUGCUUCCUUGGGGACUGCCAGUUUUUAUCUCUAUGAUCGAUAAACAUGUACAGUGUCUCCUAUCUUUAACCCUGCCCCCACCCCCUGUCCAGUUGUUCUCUUUUUCUCUUAUAGCUGGCUUCUUUAGAAUGUUGAAUUCUCCUAACUCUCCCCGCCCAUUCACUGUUCAGCCCCUUAGGUUUCUGCUCCAACUCAUCUGAGCUCAUCACAUUUUCUGCUCCAUGACCUCGGCACACAUGCUCCUCAAGCGCGUCACCACGCUACCUGCCCGCUUCUCCUGGACAUCUGUGGCUCCUGGGGCUGGCCUCUCCAGGCCAUGACUGUCCUUGGCUGGUUCACUGCUCCGGCCAGCUUUGCCAGGGUUCCAUCCUUGGCCUCUCCUGCUGGGCUGUACUUGUCCUGAGCCAUGCAUCUAUCCUGGGGCUUCCCCGCCAUGUACAGUCAUAUGUUGCAGGGACAUUCUGAGAACAGAGAAAGGAUCUCUCUAUUCAUUGGGAAUCCUCUAGUUUGCGAGUCACAGCAAAUCUACCAAGUUAAACCAGCUCAGAGACAAGAGCCACGUCCAGGACUUAGAUCUCAGAAGACCGUAGGGAUCAAAUGAUGUCACACGGUUCCAUAGCUCAGCCCACAAAAAUUGCUUUCAGUGCGGUUCCUGCAACGUCUCCCAGCUUUCUGCUCAUGACUGCUCACUUUCACUUUCAUGUUCCAACUGGCAAUCCCAACAGAGGAGGGGACAGAAAGAGACUGGGGUCAGAUCCUGAGUAACAUGACUGAAGUUCACCCUGACUUGACUAGGCUGGGUCACCGUGGCCAAGUGCGUGUUAAUCAGGGCCAUUUCUGUUACCACACGGGUUUCCUAAAGGCAGGAGGGAGAAGGAACACUGGCAGUGACAGCAUGUGGAACCGUAAUACCUCUCUGUUUCACUCAUAUUUUUUCACAGCUGUGACCUGACCAGAACAAUUUUAGAGCAGGAAAAGUUUAUUUGGAGCUCAGGGUUUCAGAGGUCUCAAUCCACAGAAGUCUGGCUCCAUUUCUUGGGUGAGGCAGAACAUCAUGGCAGAAAAGAGUGGCAGAGGGAAGCAGCUCACAUGAUGAUCAGAAGGGGGAGAGAGAGAGAGAGAGAGAGAGAGAGAGAGAGAGACCACUCACCAAAUACAAAACGUAUACCCCAAAGUCAUGUCCCCAAUGACCCACCUCCUCCAGCCACACCCUACCUGCCUUCAGUCACCACUCAGUUAAUCCCAUCAGGGGAUUAAUUCACUGUUGGGGUUAAGGUUCUCAUAACCCAUUAUUUCUCCUCUGAAUCUUCUUGCAUUGUCUCACACAUGAGCUUUUGGGGGACACCUCAUAUCCAAACCGUAACACUCUCCCCAAAUAAGCACAAGCUGAGACCAGAAAUUCCCCUGUAAAGCUGUGUCUCUUCCUUCCCUCUGUCACCGACUUCUCAGAUACUCAUUCCUCCUUCCUCUGUUCCCCAAAUAUUUCGCUGUACCGUGUCCCUCAUGUAUUAUAGUUAUUUGUAAUAUAUCUGCCUUGGCCGCUAGACAGGGCACCUCAAAAGCAGAAGUAAACUGCUUUCAGUUUUCACCCGUAACACCCAAGUGAUUCCCUAAGCUUGGCACAUUGUGGGUGCUUGAUAAGUGUGGCCAGUGUCACAAAUGAAUAAACAGUAGUAUUGUCUAUAGAAACAUUUAACUGGGUUUUCUGGGUCAAGUGGCUGUGAUGUGGGAAUAGGGAAUGUAAUUGUGUCGUCUGUGCUGUGGCUUUGUCUGGUACCCUGCUGGACAGAGAGAAGACGUACAAUCUACCCUCAUGCAGGAUCUUCAUCUGUGGAUAUUCUGACUCAAUUUGAACCCACUCUUCCCUUUUUAGUUUCUUCAAGGACACAGAAUUCUCUGGCCAAGUGACUCGCUAGCCUGGCGGGAGCUUGGGGCAGGAUCCUGCCUAUUGCUGUUUGCUGGAAGGGAUGGGAUUCACGUGCCAGCCCAGAAUGGUGUCUCCAUGUUCACUCCCUUUGGUGAGUGUGGAGACAUGAAAUUAGCUGGUUUUUGGAAAACAAGCUCAAUGGCUACCUGGGCCAGGUAUGGAACUGGAUGAGAGGCGCGUGCUGGCAACUGUCAGUGUGGAGCCGUUGCAGGUGUGGUGGGGCUGCCGCAGCUGGAUUGCCAAGCCUGGUCACGGUGAGUGAGCAGCAGUCAUGACUCAGCAGCUGCUGACUGGAGGGGAUACAGACUCUGGGAUGCUAGGACUUGGAACAGUACUCCAGUUUCAGAAGGGACAGCACUAAGUCACUCUUUGAGAAAACAUGUCUCUGACCAGUGGGCCUGGCGUGGCUUGAGGAGUACCAGACUGUGCCUCUGAUCUCACCUGAAACUUUGCCAGUGGCAUGUCUCAAAGUGAGCUACAUUUUACAACUCAAGCAGGCUUAGUCUUGUUGGGAAAAGUAUAAACGGCAGCCGCACCCCAGAGAAAAACCCCAACAUGGCGCCUAAGGACCUCUUCUUCCUACCUUCCUCUUUUCUGCAGUGGCGCGAAAAGUUCCCGUCCGUGGGAACUCUCCCAUCAGCGCCGAUUUCAAAUCUCGAUGGCGGGGAACCUUAGCCCCAAUAAGAACUAAUUCCUGGGCUCCGGAGCUGAUAUCUGGAAGAACUUGCCAAUAAACGGGUGGCCUGCCAUUUAUCUAAGCCCUGCCAUCUCCCCCUUAGUUCUAUAUAAGCACACAGCCUUUUGCAAUAAAAUUGGAAUUCUCCCGGCGAAGUGUCUUUGCGUGGGGAAUUCUUUCAAGUCUCACUAUAUGGAAGAGUUUUUUUCUAAACACUUAGGAAAAUAAUUCGGACCACAUAGUUGUUUUCAACAACUAUGCCCCGAACUAUUCUUCCCAUGAAUGGUUUUAUAGUUUCUUCAAAGUCACCGUCAAGAUUUACCCUUUUCAUGUAGCUAUUCAUCUAUUUACUGCACCCUGGCUCUGA
rnacentral:lncRNA from 1 species